UGCUAUGACGCUGACCAAAUCUCCCU
rnacentral:piRNA from 1 species